GGACGAACGCUGGCGGCGUGCCUAAUACAUGCAAGUCGAGCGGACAGAAGGGAGCUUGCUCCCGGAUGUUAGCGGCGGACGGGUGAGUAACACGUGGGUAACCUGCCUGUAAGACUGGGAUAACUCCGGGAAACCGGAGCUAAUACCGGAUAGUUCCUUGAACCGCAUGGUUCAAGGAUGAAAGACGGUUUCGGCUGUCACUUACAGAUGGACCCGCGGCGCAUUAGCUAGUUGGUGGGGUAAUGGCUCACCAAGGCGACGAUGCGUAGCCGACCUGAGAGGGUGAUCGGCCACACUGGGACUGAGACACGGCCCAGACUCCUACGGGAGGCAGCAGUAGGGAAUCUUCCGCAAUGGACGAAAGUCUGACGGAGCAACGCCGCGUGAGUGAUGAAGGUUUUCGGAUCGUAAAGCUCUGUUGUUAGGGAAGAACAAGUGCGAGAGUAACUGCUCGCACCUUGACGGUACCUAACCAGAAAGCCACGGCUAACUAC
rnacentral:rRNA from 1 species